rnacentral:rRNA from 1 species
GACGAACGCUGGCGGCGCGCCUAACACAUGCAAGUCGAACGAGCGAGAGAGAGCUUGCUUUCUCGAGCGAGUGGCGAACGGGUGAGUAACGCGUGAGGAACCUGCCUCAAAGAGGGGGACAACAGUUGGAAACGACUGCUAAUACCGCAUAAGCCCACGGCUCGGCAUCGAGGAUAGAUGAAAGGUGGCCUCUAUUUAUAAGCUAUCACUGAAGGAGGGGAUUGCGUCUGAUUAGCUAGUUGGAGGGGUAACGGCCCACCAAGGCGAUGAUCAGUAGCCGGUCUGAGAGGAUGAACGGCCACAUUGGGACUGAGACACGGCCCAGACUCCUACGGGAGGCAGCAGUGGGGAAUCUUCCGCAAUGGACGAAAGUCUGACGGAGCAACGCCGCGUGAGUGAUGACGGCC